AGUGAACGCUGGCGGCAGGCCUAACACAUGCCAGUCGAACGGCAGCACAAGAGAGCUUGCUCUCUGGGUGGCGAGUGGCGGGCGGGUGAGGAAUGCAUCGGAAUCUGCCCAUUUGUGGGGGAUAACCUCGGGAAACCGGGACUAAUACCGCAUACGACCUACGGGUGAAAGCAGGGGAUCUUCGGACCUUGCGCAGAUGGAUGAGCCGAUGCCGGAUUAGCUAGUUGGAGGGGUAAAGGCCCACCAAGGCGACGAUCCGUAGCUGGUCUGAGAGGAUGAUCAGCCACACUGGGACUGAGACACGGCCCAGACUCCUACGGGAGGCAGCAGUGGGGAAUAUUGGACAAUGGGCGCAAGCCUGAUCCAGCCAUGCCGCGUGUGUGAAGAAGGCCUUCGGGUUGUAAAGCACUUUUGUUGGGAAAGAAAAGCAGCCGGUUAAUACCCGGUUGUCAUGACGGUACCCAAAGAAUAAGCACCGGCUAACUUCGUG
rnacentral:rRNA from 1 species